UAAUUAUUUUUAUUAUUAUUUAAUUCUUGGCUCGCUGCCUAAACUUUUCUAAAUGUUAUUGCAUUUUCAAAGGAAGGACGUAUGGACAGACAUUAAAUGACGUUAAACGAUUUUCGAAUUUCUUAUCGGUCACGUAUACAUACAGUUUAUAUAAUAUUAAUGAUCAUUACAUUCGAUACGAUCACGUUUUCCGUAGCUUUUCAUAUGAUAUUAAUGAGCGUCACAUUCGAUCUAAUAAAGUUAAUGUAUAUAUUUUUUUGUUGAGUAUAAAGAUUUGUUAAUAAUAACUUAAUUUAAUUUUUUAUUUAUUUAUUUUUUUUUAUUUUGGGUGCGGUUUUGGCAAAUUUUCUAUUAUAUAUACAAAUGAAUAGAAUUACACAUAAACAAGUGUUGGACAGACAGAAAGGCUAAGCAGCAUAUAUAUGAUAUGAGAUUUACGCACUGCUUUAAUCAAUACAAAGUAUUAUUGUAAACAUUUCCAAUAACUUGUUUAAAUAUACAAACAUUUAAAAAAAUAUUUCAUUUUCAUCUACAUAUCACCCUAGAUAUGAGAGUGCGUUGAUGUUAUUCUUGCCUAAUUGUAACAUAAUUAAUAGCGCACACACAACAGAUUGCCGCAUAGAUAAGGGUCACGACUAUCAAGUGGGUGUUCUCGGAUUUAUUUUUCCAUGCGGUUUAACCAUACUUGGCCGUAGCUACAUUUUACACCAAUAGGCGACAUGCCCUGAGGACUUGGUUACAUUAAGAAAAGAUUGUAUGUCGUUUGAAACGGUGGCUAUCCUUUAAAGUUUGUUUUCAGCCCACAGGGUUGCAUUUAGUCUUGGAUUCUCCCUUCCACACUUAUCAGGGUAAGCCCGAAAAAGGAUUCAUUUUAUAUAUAAUAUACUAUGGAAGAUACUGUGAACUGCACGAUACGAAUUAAAAACUCGAACUGUAUGUGGGUUUGCGAAAAGUUAAACAGCAGCAACAGCAACAACAGCAGCAGCAGAGAAGAGCAAAAGCAUGAAAAAAGAAAAGAAAAGC